CUCCAGUCAGAAUCUGCACUGUGAGCCAAAACGAACCUCCUCUCUUUGUCAGUUUACUAGGGGUGUUUGUUCCAGUGACAGAAACUGGUAACAAACCCGGACUCCUCAGCUCUGCCACCUGGUGUCUGGGUUCUCCCUGUUCUUUCCAGCAGAUUCUCUGCCCUGUGCACAACACAACCAGGAGCCAGUUAGCAUGAAACAAAGGUCCCAAGUCACAUCACAACUGAGAAGCUAAAGACCAUCUCAGCUGGCAGAGGGACAGAAGAUACAAUGUGCUCAACAUCAUUCAUCCUUUCCUGCCCAGGAAUUGAUUGGAAGGAAAUAAUUAAGAACGUCCACAGUGUUUCACUGGGAGAAUGCCUACAUAUGUUGUUACAGUGAUAAACAACUGGAAAUGACCUGGGUUCUGAAAGACCCGCAUCCACAAGCCCCCGAUUGCCUCAGCCCCUGUCCAAUUCCGAGCAGAGACCCCCGGUAAGUUACAUGUCCCAGCACACACACUGCCGGUCUCCAUCUCCCAGCCUACUGCUUCUAAGGAUGCUCGCUCACGGGAUAGCACCCUCAACGUGAAUCAGCCAUCUCCUGGGUCCACAGUAACAUCAUCUAAAAUGAGGCUGGGGAGCUACUGAACUCUAGCCGCCUUGAAAAGGUGGGCGUGGUGCAUGGUGUGGCUCGUUCAUUCCAAGGAAGUGGUCUAACCGCCUUCUCUAAGCGCUCCUGCUGUGGGGUCAGUUAACUUCACUAUUGAUGCUUAAUGAGGGAAAGACUUUUUCUUUUCUGCAGGCCCACCCAUCUCGCUGGUUCAAAACCGUACCCCUUGAUUAAAAACUUCAGCUUCCUAAAUCUUGUCUCUAGACACGUGGGAGAGCUCCAGGCUGCUCACCAGCCACACAGUCUGCUCCUUGGGGGUCCUCCCUGCAUCCCAGAUCCUCUCAGAACUUUGUGGGGCCCCUGGGUACCUCUUCUGGAGAUUCCUAUGCCACCAGGACCCACUCCCACCGCAUUCCCUGUUUCUCUGCUUCCUGCAUGCUGCUGCCCAAGAGUUACAUGAAGUGGUCCCCAAGAGCAGCCUGGCCUCCUAGGGGCCCUCCGGGGAUCUGGGGCAGAUGGCCAGCCCGCGGUGGCCCCUGGAAGGCAGACAGCCAAGUAACUUUGCUUUAGCGAGAGCGAAGCUGCGUCUGACUGCCCAGGGAGGGCAGGGACCCCAGGGACGCCCGGGCCUCGGAGAGCAGGCCAGGAUGUCAGCGUGGCCGCCCGGACAUUUAAAUCGGCCCCGCGGGAGGUGGAGUGGAAGAGGCCGGAAAGGCGGCGGCCAACUUGGGGGACCACGGGGUGGCCACGCCAGGGUCGAGGAUCCGCGGGGGACACUUACCAGCGCGUGUUGUCGUGGAAGUGCUCCAGCACCGCGUAGCCGAAG